rnacentral:rRNA from 1 species
UAGUCCACGCCGUAAACGAUGGAUACUAGCUGUCCGCUGCCUUGAGCAGUGGGCGGCCAAGCGAAAGUGAUAAGUAUCCCACCUGGGGAGUACGUUCGCAAGAAUGAAACUCAAAGGAAUUGACGGGGGCCCGCACAAGCGGUGGAGCAUGUGGUUUAAUUCGAUGAUACGCGAGGAACCUUACCAGGGCUUAAAUGUGGUCUGACAGCUUUAGAGAUAGAGUUUUCUUCGGACAGAUCGCAAGGUGCUGCAUGGUUGUCGUCAGCUCGUGCCGUGAGGUGUCAGGUUAAGUCCUAUAACGAGCGCAACCCCUGCCGUCAGUUGCCAUCAAGUAAAGUUGGGGACUCUGACGGGGACUGCCGGUGCAAACCAUGAGGAAGGUGGGGACGACGUCAAAUCAUCACGGCCCUUACGUCCUGGGCUACACACGUGCUACAAUGGCAAGGACAGUGAGCUGCGAACCGGUGACGGUGAGCUAAUCUACAAACCUUGUCUCAGUUCGGA